rnacentral:lncRNA from 1 species
GCUAGGUUGACAUGGUACAAAGCCACAUUACCACGCUAAGUGUGGCUUUGAUUUUUAGAAACCGCCUCAUGCUAAGUCUAGGGAAUACAGUGGUUGAAUGGGGUGAGCGCUGACCUUUAGCUAUUCUGGAGGAACAUGUCACUUUCACUUAUUUUCUUUCAUGUUUUCCCACCCAGUGCUAUGGACUCUGAUCGCCCAACCAGAGCAAACCCAGAAGGACAACUCUCCAAGCCUUUCAAUCACUCCCACUAACCCGUAUUGUGGACACACUAUUGUGAGGCCUACUAAGGAUGUACUGCUGAUGACCUUUUGAAGGCCAGUGGACCUGCUCUGCAGACCCAGGCUCCUCUCCCAUGGAGCAUCCCAAGUCUGUCCUUAUGGGAAGAAGCAGGAGCCCUGUCUGGCUGUACCCCAAGCUGCUUUCUCUGGACCAAUGCUGUCAGCGAUAGAGCAAACAAGCCAAACAGCAGCUUGAAAAAUGCUUUCUACUUGGACAUACCCUCUUGCUACAGGGAACCCUUCCACCAUCAUGUGAAGAAGCCUGGUCUAGCCUGCUGGAGGAUGAGAGAUCACAUGGAAUGAGGCCACAAUCGUUCCAGCCAAAGCCCCAGUAAUAGAAUUAAGAUCAUCCAAGACCAUGGCAUCCCGCCUGAGAAGUUCAGAUGAGAAGGGCCACCUGAACAACCAACAGAAUCUUAAAAAGUAAAAAAUGAGUGUUGCCACUAUGCAUCUAUUAGAAUGGCAGAAAUCGAAGACACUGACAACAACAAAUGCUGGUGAGGAUGUGGAGCAACAGGAACUCUCACUCACUGAAGAUGGAAAUGCAAAAUAGUGCAGCUACUUUGGAAAACAGCUACUUUGGCUGUUUCUUACAACACUAAAUAUGCUAUUAUUAUAUGAUCCAGAAGUUUUGCUCCUUAGCACUUACCCAAAAAAGUUGAAAACUUAUGUACACACAAAAACCUGCACAUGGAUAUUCACAGCAGUUUUUGAUAUGGUUUGGCUCUGUGUCCCCACAGAAAUCUCAUCUUGUAUUUGUAUAAAUUUAUGGGGUACAAGAGUAAUUUUGUUAGCAUGCAUAGACAUGCAUAGACUGCAUAGCUCCCAUAAUUCCCACAUGUUGUGGGAGGGACCAGGUGGGAGGUGAUUGAAUCAUAGGGGCAGGUCUUUCCUGUCUUGUUCUUGUGAUAGUGAGUGGGUCUCACAAGAUCUGAUGGUUUUAAAUAACAGGAAUUUAUCUGCACAAGCUCUUUUAUUUUGCCUGCUGCCAUCCACAUAAGAUGUGACUUGCUCCUCCUUGCCUUCUGCCAUGAUUGUGAGGCCUCCCCAGCCAUGUGGAACUGUAAAUCCAAUUAAAUCUCUUUCUUUUGUAAAUUGCCCAGUCUUGGAUAUGUCUUUAUCAGCAGAGUAAAUGUGGACUAAUACAGUAAAUUGGUACCAGUAGAGUGGGAUGUUGCUGAAAAUAUCAUCAAAAAUGUGGAAGUAACUUUGGAACUGGGUAACAGGCAGAGGAUGGAACAGUUUGGAGGGCUCAGAAGAAGACAGAAAAAUGUGGGAAAGUUUGGAACUUCCUAGAGACCUGUUGAAUGGCUUUGACAAAAAUGCUGAUGGUGAUAUGAAUGAACAAUAAGGUGAAUGAACAAUAAGGACCAGGCUGAGGUGGUCUCAGAGGGAGAUGAGGAACUUGUUGGGAAAUGGA